AGGCUUUGAAGAUGAACGAGACAGAGAGAAUUCCAUCACUCCUGUCACUGUACUCCGUCCUGGAGGAUUUCAGGGUGGAGGAUACAGAUUUUGAGGCCCUCGCCUCUUAUUACGAACAUCACUACCGGGUCCAAUAU